rnacentral:rRNA from 1 species
GACGAACGCUGGCGGCGUGCCCAACACAUGCAAGUCGAGCGAAUGAAGUUCCUUCGGGAAUGGAUUUAGCGGCGGACGGGUGAGUAACACGUGGGCAACCUGCCUCAUAGAGGGGAAUAGCCUUCCGAAAGGGAGAUUAAUACCGCAUAAGAUUGUAGUAUCGCAUGAUACAGCAAUUAAAGGAGCAAUCCGCUAUGAGAUGGGCCCGCGGCGCAUUAGCUAGUUGGUGAGGUAACGGCUCACCAAGGCGACGAUGCGUAGCCGACCUGAGAGGGUGAUCGGCCACAUUGGGACUGAGACACGGCCCAGACUCCUACGGGAGGCAGCAGUGGGGAAUAUUGCACAAUGGGGGAAACCCUGAUGCAGCAACGCCGCGUGAGUGAUGACGGCCUUCGGGUUGUAAAGCUCUGUCUUCAGGGACGAUAAUGACGGUACCUGAGGAGGAAGCCACGGCUAACUACGUG